UACGUAGGGUGCAAGCGUUGUCCGGAAUUAUUGGGCGUAAAGGGCUCGUAGGCGGUUUGUCGCGUCGGGAGUGAAACCUUGGGCUUAACUCAGGGCUUGCUUUCGAUACGGGCAGACUAGAGGUAUGCAGGGGAGAACGGAAUUCCUGGUGUAGCGGUGAAAUGCGCAGAUAUCAGGAGGAACACCGGUGGCGAAGGCGGUUCUCUGGGCAUGAUCUGCGCUGAGGAGCGAAAGUGUGGGGAGCGAACAGG
rnacentral:rRNA from 1 species